UAGGGAAUCUUCGGCAAUGGACGAAAGUCUGACCGAGCAACGCCGCGUGAGUGAAGAAGGUUUUCGGAUCGUAAAACUCUGUUGUUAGAGAAGAACAAGGACGUUAGUAACUGAACGUCCCCUGACGGUAUCUAACCAGAAAGCCACGGCUAACUACGUGCCAGCAGCCGCGGUAAUACGUAGGUGGCAAGCGUUGUCCGGACUUAUUGGGCGUAAAGCGAGCGCAGGCGGUUUCUUAAGUCUGAUGUGAAAGCCCCCGGCUCAACCGGAGAAGGUCAGUGGAAACUGGGAGACUUGAGUGCAGAAGAGGAGAGUGGAAUUCCAUGUGUAGCGGUGAAAUGCGUAGAUAUAUGGAGGAACACCAGUGGCGAAGGCGGCUCUCUGGUCUGUGACUGACGCUGAGGCUCGAAAGCGUGGGGAGCAAACAGG
rnacentral:rRNA from 1 species